CAGGCUGUGUGCAGCUGAAGCAGGCGAGGCCUGGAGCAGGCGCCCCGGGCAGGUCGCUCCCUGCCCUGCAGUCCCGACCCGAAGGCCAGAGCCAGAGCAGCCUUGGGCGUGGGUGUGGGGCCACCCCAGGGCGGAUCAGCCCCAGGCCGCGGAAUCCAGCCCUGCCAGGUCGGUCGCAGGUCGGCGCGGGCCCACACAAGGCCCACUUCCUCCCUCCCGCGAGGCAGGCCCUGUUAUUAUCCCUGCAUCAUCAAUGAGGAAACUGAGGCAGAAAGAUGCAGUCACUUGCUCGAGGUCACAUGCCCACCGUGUCAACCAUCACAGCUGAUGUGCAACACAUGCAUCGAGGAGUGGCCGGCACCUCCGGGGUCACGGGUCAAGAUGGUCUAUGAAGAGACAGCCGUUGGCAGAAUGGGCCAGAGAAUCCGGAAACAGCACCGACUGGCCCUGCCUGGGGGAGUUCGGCGUCUCCAAACCCUGGGCCCAGUUCACUGCCACCGAGUGGCUGCACCCCUGGGGGCAGCUACACAGAACCCCUUCCGAGUAUGCCGAGCGAUGUACGUGAGAUUGUUCAUGGUGGCCCCUUCUCUUCUCCUUGCCUGAUGUACUGGGGCCCAUCUCAAUGUCACCCAUCGAUAGAGAACUAGUUCAGGUAACUGAGGCAAUUGCCAAGUGACAAACAGACCCCUCUGUCGUGUGCUUUGAAAAGGGGCGCAAAGGGUGGACAGAAUGAGAUGGUAAAAGACAUCAUCACGCUGCCCAGGAUGCCAUGCAAUUUAAAACAUGAAUUUUCUAUUUCUGGGAUUUCACAUUUAGUAUUUUCAGACCCCAUUUGACCCCGGGUAACUGAAACUAUGGACCACAAAACCACAGAUGGGGGGGCGCAGGGGACUCCUGUACAUUGUUUCAUGAAAGGUAAAGACGCAGCAGGACAGGACGCGGGGCGCACGCCUGCGAUCCAGCACUCGGGAGGCUGAGGCAGCAGGAGCACAAGUUCCAGCCCAACCCAGGCAACAGCAACUUAGUGAGACCCUGUCUUACAAUGAAAGGCGGGGAGGGGCUGGGGACGUGCCUCAGCGUGAAGGACAUGUGUUCAAUCCCCAACACUCUUUACAAAUUUUAAGAAAGCAAACUACUAGCAUUUGUGUACAAAACAGCUGCAGCGACUACGGGAGUACGUUUGCUUCUAGACUCGUGAGAACCCUGGGUAACCAGAGACACCAGGGUGCCGUGGACAGGGACUUGAUGGCCAGGGACCGGGUGGGAGGUUUUCUGUGUCCGGAGGUUUGUUCCAGGGCCUCUCCAUACCAAGUCCUUUAAUGAAAUGGCUGUGUAUUUGCCCAUACGCGCACGCAUCCUCCCAUGAGGCGGAGCAACUUUGAGUCAUUUCCAGAUGACUUACAGUGCCUCAGACAAGGCAAGUGCUAAGUACUUGUUACUCAGUAUUGACACAGGAAAGCGACUGGAUGUGCUCAGAACAGACGAAAAAAAUUCGUUCAGGAUUUUCAACCACAGAUGCAGAGCCCAGGAGUGGGACGGCAGCUGUACCACCCUGCAACGCCUUUGGGGUCUUGAAUCACAGCAGCGGACUCUUUUUUCUUUUCUUUGAAAAUUUUGUUAUUCUAUGUACUGACCAUUUAAAACACAUUUAAUUUUUAAUUUUAGAACUUUGCAAAUAGCCAGGCACUGUGGCACUUGUC
rnacentral:lncRNA from 1 species